rnacentral:rRNA from 1 species
UACGUAGGGUGCGAGCGUUAAUCGGAAUUACUGGGCGUAAAGCGUGCGCAGGCGGUUUUGUAAGCCAGAUGUGAAAUCCCCGGGCUUAACCUGGGAAUGGCAUUUGGGACUGCAAGGCUUGAGUGCGGCAGAGGAGACUGGAAUUCCUGGUGUAGCAGUGAAAUGCGUAGAUAUCAGGAGGAACACCGAUGGCGAAGGCAGGUCUCUGGGCUGACACUGACGCUCAUGCACGAAAGCGUGGGGAGCAACAGGGA